rnacentral:lncRNA from 1 species
GACAGCCUUCCACUACCAGGGGAAAUAACUCCAGGAUCUGAUCUAGCCAGGAUUAAAUGUUACAGGAAUAAACUAGCUCAUCAUGAUAGUAAUACAAUAGAUACUGCUUAUUUCAAUACAGCAUGGAGAGAUAUAUCAGAGGUAACUGUGGAUCUACAAUAUUGAUACUUUCAUUUAUAUUUGACAUGUUGGACAUUUUUAGAACAUUUCAGUGUUUUUUUACGACUGUAAAAAUUAUUUGUUAUCAUAUUCUCUUGACCAUACUGUAACUGUCGAUCUGUCCAUCCAUUCACAAUACUCAGAGGCCGUUUGACAAAUAACUUGCAUACUUGGUAGGAUUAUUUGUUAUCAUAUUCUCUUGACCAUACUAUACUGUCGAUCUGUCCAUCCAUACACAAUACACAGAUAGUGUUAAUGCAGAUAGUGUUAAUGCAGAUAGCUUGCAUUACUUAGUAGGAUUAUUUGUUAUCUUAUUUCCUUGACUAUACUAUAUUGUCUGUCCGUCCAUUCAUUCACAAUACUAUAAAACCUUUUUACAGAUAACUUUCAUACUUGGUAGGAUUAUUUGUUAUCGUAUUCUCUUGACCAUAUUGUAUUGUUUUUCUGUCGGUCCAUCCAUACACAGAGAUUGUUUGACAAAUAACUUGAAUACUUGGUAGGAUUAUUUAUUAGCAUAUUCCAUUGACCAUAUUAUUGUACUGUCUGUUUGAUGUGAUUUUUUAUGUGAGUUUAUGGACCUGGACUUUGACGUUUUUAGACAACUGUAACACAAUGACUCAUUGUGAACAGUACUCCUCUGCGACUAUUCAACAACAAGCUUUCAUGCUUGGUAGGAUUGUUUGCCGUUAUGUGUAGUUGGCCAUCUUAUACCGACAUGUUGAUUGAAUGAUUUUAAUAGGAGUUAUGGAACUUUGACCAUUUUAUCGACCGCAAAAGACAAAGACACAUUGGUUUUCGCACUAUAACUUAAGUUUAACUGAUGGAUCUUUAUGAAAUUUUACCAUAAGGUUCAAUACCACAAAAGGAAGGUUGGGAUUGAUUUUGGGGGUUAUGGUACCAAAGUUAAGGAAUUAGGGGCCAAAAAGGGGCCAAAAAUAAGCAUUUUUGUAACUUCAAGACAAUAACUUGUGUGUUAUAGUGUAUGGGUCCCUCUGACAUUGUACCACAAGGUUCCAUAUCACAAAGGGAAUGCUGGGAUUGAAUUUUGGGGGUAAUUGCCUCAAAAUUUUAAGAAUUAGGGGCCAAAAAGGGGAAAAAACAAGCAUUUUUCUAGUUUCAUGACAAUAACUUGUGUGUAAGUGUAUGGAUCUAUCUGAAAUUGUACUACAAGGUUCCAUAUCACAAAGGGAAAGCUGGAAUUGAGUUUGGGGGUAAUUGCCUGAAACGUUAAGGAAUUAGGGGCCAAAAAGGGGAAAAAAUAAGCAUUUUUCUAGUUUCCAGACAAUAACUUGUGUUCAAGUGUAUGGAUCUCUCUGAAAUUGUACUGCAAGGUACCAUACAACAAAGAGAAGGCUUGGAUUUAGUUUGGGAGAUGAAUCAUAAGGGGGUUCAACAAAUUUGGGUGGGUUUCUCUUUUUCCUUUUUUUUUCCUAUAAAAUUUUCCAUUUUAAGUUGGUUAUUUCUGAUUUAUAUAUGGACCAUAAUUUGGUAUUCGGCCUUUGGUUUCUUUUUGUAUCCUUUUUUAUAAGUUCUAAAAUUUUAACUUUUAUUUUGUGGGUUGUGUUGAUGUUAGAAUAGUAUGAAUGGAACAAUUGAGUUUUUCGAGAAAAAAUUAAUACAUGUUGAUUCACCGUUUACGUGACAGGAAACCAAACAGGAAACCAAUCUUUAUUUUCUUUAUUUUGCACAAUAUAAUUCAAAAGGCAUAAAUAAACACCAUUACUAGUGUUACUUGCUUCAUGUUAAUAUUUAAAAUCUAUUUUCAAUGUUAUAUUAAAGUUUUUUUAAACGUGACAGGAAACCAUAAGAAACCGAAAGCAUUUUUUUAGUUUUAUUUUAUUGCAAAAUCUGCUUAAAAUAAUCUGAACAGUAUACUAUUUCUUAAAAUCCAUCUUAAAUGUAACAGUAUUAUAAAACUCCUAAAUAUGUGCUUGUUUUGAAAACAAUUAGUACAAUUUAUUCAGAAUUUUCCAUAUUUUCUUCAUUGAUACAGGAUACCAUAUUCGUUGUAUCUUGAUGUUUUGGCCAAAAAAAUAUAUUUAUAUUUGGUUUUGAAAUUCCAGUUAUAUAAAAUUUAUUCCAAAUCAUUGGCAAUGUAAAAUUCUUUAAAUCCAGUAAAGAAAAAAACUUUUAACUUGGAAUUAAAAUCUUUAAAAUAGGCACCAUGUGAUAUUUGUGACCUGUACACCAUCUACAUGGUUUCCACAUUUUAACCUACUUUAGUGGGCUAAAAUCAAUAAAGUACUUCCUUUCAAGUCAUGCCUGGUAAAAGUUUACCUUUCCUUUGACAAGUUUUUUGCGUUUCUGAAAAGUGUUUGCAGAACAUGAAUAAAAAAAAAUAAUUAAAAAUUGUGACAAAGUUACCAACUUUGUACAUUCCUAGUGUAACGGUAUAUUAACAUGCAUUUUUCAUUUAAUUAUCUUUAUUUCACCUAAAAUAUCCAGUAAUAUUUACUGCUGAAGCAAAAUCAAUCCAACGAACAUCGGCACCAAUGAUAAGAGACGUAAUUUCGAUUGAAUUUUUCCAAGGACCCUUUACAUCGUUAUUGGGAAACGUAGUGUGUUUAAACGUCGGUCAAAUUUGAAAUCGAUUUUGUCAAGUCAUUGGGCAUUUAUUUUCACACAAGAUCGUAUGUAACAUUAUGCACAUAGGAAAUAAUAAUAGACCCCCGGCGCAAUCUCUUUGAAAAUUGUAUUUUCCUUUUUUAAACAAGUCGAAACAAGUCUACAGAUUAUGUUUGCUAACAUCCCAUUGGAAAAAAAACAAUGUUUAGAACUAGUAUAUCGUAUGUCCGGCUGUAAGGGCGUGAUCACAUGUUAGUCACAUGUUUCACGCAUGACCGGAAAUGAUUAGAACUUAAGGACAAAAACAAUUUUAAUAAAUAACUGGACUUCUGUUUCGUGUGAAAUGUAACGCAUAACGAUAACGUCAUUUUCUUACUUAAUUAUUACGAAGAUCAAAACAAGAAUUUAAAUCAUCUCUGAUUUACCUGUUUGAACAUCUCGCGAGAGUUCAUAUUUGCAUAUUGUUUUUAAGAAUUCUAUUACAACAAAGCAGAUUACAUCAUCUAAAAUUUGCGUUACGAAAUAGGACACAAAAAUCACGCCACUGUUCUUACAUCUGCUACAUAAAUACUUAUAGUUCUCGGCAUUUUCUUCUCACUAUUCUUAUUGGUCGAUGUUCUUUGUUAUUUGAAAGCAAAAGUUACAAAUUUGCCGGUGACGAUUAUCUAUAAAUCAGUCAGCGUUAUGCUCUUCGGAAGCAAAAAGUAACGCGAGAAACGACACAAAAAUACGGUUGUAGAAUCUUUGAAAUUCGUAUAUAUCAAUUUUUUUUUUCUAGGGGGUGGGGGGAGGUAGGGAAGAGGAGGGGGGGGGUAGCAUACACUUGUAUGUUAAUAAAAAUAAUGGCAUCUUUAGAUGUAGUUACAACUUUUCUUACAGUAAUUCAAAUUUUAUCACUUUUCUAUAGUUAUAGGAAACCGAGCCCAAUAGCAAAUUAUGGUCCAUAUAAAAGCAAAUAAUGAUAUGGCAGGAGAUACGCACCAAACAGGAUGUGUAAAUUAUUAUAUAAAGUAUUGUGUACUUUAGCAAGAAAUUUUCAAUUGCACAGUAUUGUGCAAUAGCAAGAAAUUUUCAAUUGCACAGUAUUGCGCAAUAGCAAGAAAUAUCCAAUAGCACAAUAUUGCGCAAUAGCAAGAAAUCUCCAAUUUCACAGUAUUGCGCAGUAGCAAGAAAUAUUGAAUCGCACAGUAUUGCGCAAUUGCAAUAAAUAUUCAAUUGUACAGUAUUGGGCAAUAGCAAGAAAUCUUCUUUUGCACAGUAUUGGGCAAUAGCAAGAAAUCUUCUUUUGCACAGUAUUACACAAUACCAAGAAAUCUCAAUUGAAUUUUUUCAAGUUGGCCCCAAUGGGGGUCCAAAAUUUUGUUUGAUUUCAUCAAAAAUUGAAUAUAUGGGGUUCUUUGAUAUGCUGAAUCUAACCAUGUAUUGAGAUUUUGGAAAUAAGACCAUAAUAGCUAAAUUAAAAAAAAAUAAGUUCUUAGACCAAUUUCAUUCUGUGUCAGAAACCUAUGCUGUGUCAAAUAAUAAAUCACUAUCCAAAUUCAGAGCUGUAUCAAGCUUGAAUGUUGUGUCCAUACUUCAUGUACUUGCCCCAUCUGUUCAGGGUUCGACCUCUGUGGUAGUAUCAAGCUGCGCCCAGCGGAGCAUUUUAUUAGACUAUUAAUAUACACUGACACCUUGUGUAGCCUAUUGCUAAUGCCUGUAAUUAAUGGUACUCCUUUGAUACAGUUUGACAGAAAGCUCUAAAACUUGGCAGGAUUUGUAGGUCUUUAUGUGUAUGUGGCCAUAUAAUACCGUCAUGUUGGUGCAACUCUCAUUUAUUGGGAAUUAUAGGACUUUGACUUUUUCUUUACAUAUAUAUAAAUAUAUGUGUAUACCACAAUGACACCAUGUCUGGCCCUUUGAAUCACAGCUCAAAAAACACUUUAUAAUGUAAUCGAUGAUUCGUUGUACAUUUUUAUACUUGUGUAAAAAGCAAUUCCUAUCAAUCUUGAUUUACAAGCAAGGUCCUAUUAAAUGAAUUAAAAAUGAUUAUUGUACAUAGACACGAUAAAGAAUAAUGUUUUGAAGCAUACAAAAUUACCAGAUAUCGAACUAUUUAUUUAUAGGCUGUAAGUCGACUGGGAGGUCAAACACUGUAUAAAGAGUGUCAAGAGUUAAAGGUAAAAAUCUUAGACCAGUCUAAUCAGGAAAUUAUGUUGGAAAUCAAACAAUCACUGGAAGAGAUGAAAGAACUGAAACUUACAGUGGAUAAUUUGGGAAUGGAACACUCUAGAGUGACAGAAAAUUUUAGAGAGUUACAGACUUCCCACAAUACGUUACAAACAGAACACUCAAAAGUUAUGGAAAUUGUGAAAGACCCAAUACCAUGGAACAUCAAAGGUACAUUAUACUUAUUGAUACAGAUAAAAGUAGACUAUCAAUUGACAGGGUAAAUAUUUACCAAUUCUUCAAUUUCUCAUAUAAUUGGAAAUGUUUUAAUUUUACGUCACGUAUAUUGAUCGAUACAAAUAUCAACAUUCCCUACAGAAAUGGAGGUAAUGUGAUUUUAUUAUAAAA